CCCAGAGGUGGACAGUGUUGAUGAACCCAGAGGUGGACAGUGUUGAUGAACCCAGAGGUGGACAGUGUUGAUGAACCCAGAGGUGGACAGUGUUGAUGAACCCAGAGGUGGACAGUGUUGAUGAACCCAGAGGUGGACAGUGUUGAUGAACCCAGAGGUGGACAGUGUUGAUGAACCCAGAGGUGGACAGUGUUGAUGAACCCAGAGGUGGACAGUGUUGAUGAACCCAGAGGUGGACAGUGUUGAUGAACCCAGAGGUGGACAGUGUUGAUGAACCCAGAGGUGGACAGUGUUGAUGAACCCAGAGGUGGACAGUGUUGAUGAACCCAGAGGUGGACAGUGUUGAUGAACCCAGAGGUGGACAGUGUUGAUGAACCCAGAGGUGGACAGUGUUGAUGAACCCAGAGGUGGACAGUGUUGAUGAACCCAGAGGUGGACAGUGUUGAUGAACCCAGAGGUGGACAGUGUUGAUGAACCCAGAGGUGGACAGUGUUGAUGAACCCAGAGGUGGACAGUGUUGAUGAACCCAGAGGUGGACAGUGUUGAUGAACCCAGAGGUGGACAGUGUUGAUGAACCCAGAGGUGGACAGUGUUGAUGAACCCAGAGGUGGACAGUGUUGAUGAACCCAGAGGUGGACAGUGUUGAUGAACCCAGAGGUGGACAGUGUUGAUGAACCCAGAGGUGGACAGUGUUGAUGAACCCAGAGGUGGACAGUGUUGAUGAACCCA